CAGAAUUGGGACUUUCAGGGCUUCAGGGAAGGAGGGACUAACUACAAGGGGAGGGGGCAGCCCAGCCACGGAGAGGGCAGCCAACAGCUGGGUCAGGGCCUGAUGCCCGCCCAACAGCCCCAGCUCCAACCACAGCACCGGACUCUGGGCCAUUCCAUGUGGGAUCGUGACCUGCCCUGUCUAAGAAAAAAAAUCAAAAGGCAGAGACAUUAUUGUUACCUCAUGAAUGAAAGAGAAAACAUUACGUAACUGAUGGCAUUUGAGGGGGAGAGGGUAAGCCUAGGGAAGAGGAAAAUCAAAAUGCUUUCAGCAGCACGGCUUCUGUAUGCUGGAGAGGUGGUGUAUGGAGUUGCAGCUUGGCCUGUUUCCUGAAACUUGCAAGGUGGCACCUUGAAGGUAGCUUGUAACCCUCUACUCUCACCCCAAGGUAAUACCUCCUUCCUGUCUGGCCACCUGUCACAGCCAGUGGAAGUAGGGUUUGGAGAGAUGGUUGGGACAUCCUUACACAAUGUUAGGUGGAGACUUAGUGAUGGCUUCGGGGGAAGGCAGAGGGAGGCUCUCUUGCAUCAGGGGACUGGGAGCACCGCUGCCAUGAUCAAGCCCUUUGGAUGAAAGGAGAGCUGUGAAAUUUGCUGCCCAGAUGUGGGUUUGCAAAUGUCCUUGUUGCUCUGUUACCCUGGCCUAGCUCAUAGAAGCUUUCUUCUCCUGUGGCUUGGGAGAGAGCCACUGUAAAAGACAAGCUGUGGCUAGUAAGCAUCUUCUAUGUGCUCUGGGCUGUCUCAUGCAAGGGCUAGGGCACAGGAUCCUCACGAUGGCCCUUCAAGAGGGGUUAGUCUUA
rnacentral:lncRNA from 10 species